rnacentral:piRNA from 1 species
UGCAAGUCUGCUUUUGNGGUUGCCUGAGCCU